AGAGUUUGAUCCUGGCUCAGAAUCAACGCUGGCGGCGCGCUUAACACAUGCAAGUCGCACGAGAAAGUGGGAAACCAUGAGUACAGUGGCGUACGGGUGAGUAACACGUGGGUAAUCUACCUCUGAGUGGGGAAUAACCCUGGGAAACCGGGGCUAAUACCGCAUAUUCUCGAGAGAGGAAAGCAGCAAUGCGCUGAGAGAGGAGCCCGCGGCCGAUUAGCUAGUUGGUAGGGUAAGAGCCUACCAAGGCAGAGAUCGGUAGCCGGCCUGAGAGGGCACACGGCCACACUGGCACUGAAACACGGGCCAGACUCCUACGGGAGGCAGCAGUGGGGAAUCUUGCACAAUGGGGGAAACCCUGAUGCAGCGACGCCGCGUGAGCGAUGAAGCCCUUCGGGGUGUAAAGCUCUUUCGUCAGGGAAGAUUAUGACGGUACCUGGAGAAGCAGCUGCGGCUAACUACGUGCCAGCAGCCGCGGUAAUACGUAGGCAGCGAGCGUUGUUCGGAGUUACUGGGCGUAAAGGGUGUGUAGGCGGUUCUUUAAGUUUGGUGUGAAAUCUCCCGGCUCAACCGGGAGGGUGCGCCGAAUACUGAGGGACUUGGAGUGCGGGAGAGGAAAGUGGAAUUCCUGGUGUAGCGGUGAAAUGCGUAGAUAUCAGGAGGAACACCGGUGGUGUAGACGGCUUUCUGGACCGUAACUGACGCUGAGACACGAAAGCGUGGGUAGCAAACAGGAUUAGAUACCCUGGUAGUCCACGCCCUAAACGAUGCAUAUUUGGUGUGGGUCAUUCAGUUGAUCCGUGCCGGAGCUAACGCGUUAAAUAUGCCGCCUGGGGAGUACAGUCGCAAGGCUGAAACUCAAAGGAAUUGACGGGGGCCCGCAC
rnacentral:rRNA from 1 species